rfam:Schistosoma haematobium scaffold1189_19, whole genome shotgun sequence.
GCACUGCUGAGUAGUCUCACAAUAGGACGAAACGGCCGUCCAGUGC